GGAGAUGUGGCUCAGUGGUAGUGCGCUCGCCUGGCAUGCGUGCGGCCUGGGUUCGAUCCUCAGCACCACCA